rnacentral:rRNA from 1 species
AAAUUGAAGAGUUUGAUCAUGGCUCAGAUUGAACGCUGGCGGCAGGCCUAACACAUGCAAGUCGAACGGUAACAGGAAGA